rnacentral:lncRNA from 1 species
AUCAAACAUAAAUAUAUAAACAAGUAACGUGUAUCCAACAAUGCAAUCAUAUCUUAAAUUUUCAAAAUCAAACAGUAGUCAAGUAAGACAGUAAUACACACAUUUAAACCAUACAAUAUACAAACUAGAUAUCAUCAUGCUUUUAGACUGUACAAUAAAUCAACAGUAAUCGACAGAAAAUAAUGUCUAAUUUUUGGCUCCAUUAACAAUCCGUAAUUAAUCAAGCACAUCCAUUUAAUUUGUAUGAAGGACCGUAUUAUUAUUUAUUUGAACUUUAAUUCCAUGAUAGGAAAUAGGGUGAGGGGUCCUUACUUGAUUC